AUUGAACGCUGGCGGCAUGCCUUACACAUGCAAGUCGAACGGUAACAGGUUAAGCUGACGAGUGGCGAACGGGUGAGUAAUAUAUCGGAACGUGCCCAGUCGUGGGGGAUAACGUAGCGAAAGCUACGCUAAUACCGCAUACGAUCUACGGAUGAAAGCGGGGGAUCGCAAGACCUCGCGCGAUUGGAGCGGCCGAUAUCAGAUUAGGUUGUUGGUGAGGUAAAGGCUCACCAAGCCUGCGAUCUGUAGCUGGUCUGAGAGGACGACCAGCCACACUGGAACUGAGACACGGUACAGACUCCUACGGGAGGCAGCAGUGGGGAAUUUCGGACAAUGGACGCAAGUCUGAUCCAGCAAUGCCGCGUGCAGGACGAAGGCCUUCGGGUUGUAAACUGCUUUUGUACGGAACGAAACGGUGAGCUCUAAUACAGUUUGCUAAUGACGGUACCGUAAGAAUAAGCACCGGCUAACUACGUGCCAGCCGCCGCCGUAA
rnacentral:rRNA from 1 species